GUGGAGAUGGCCCGUCAUCGCUGAUAAGUGAUUGAAAAUUCGGGUGCUGA
rnacentral:snoRNA from 1 species